UACGUAGGGAGCGAGCGUUGUCCGGAAUUACUGGGUGUAAAGGGAGCGUAGGCGGGAAGGCAAGUCAGCUGUGAAAUACAUGGGCUUAACCUAUGGACUGCAGUUGAAACUGUUUUUCUUGAGUGAAGUAGAGGUAGGCGGAAUUCCGAGUGUAGCGGUGAAAUGCGUAGAUAUUCGGAGGAACACCAGUGGCGAAGGCGGCCUACUGGGCUUUAACUGACGCUGAGGCUCGAAAGUGUGGGGAGCAAACAGG
rnacentral:rRNA from 1 species